AGAUGUUCCUACAGGAUUUGAUAUAAACCUUAGAAAGGAAAACAUCCCAUCUGUUGUGACCCCCUGGGAGGAGAGGCUAUAUAAGCACUUCACAGAGGACCAACGCGACAGGUGUGGAAUUUAUACUCGGUGGAGGUUGCCUGGGCUGAUGACCACAGACUCGGAGACAGACUGACGCUGGGCACACACUAUGGAUACCAAGAGCUGUGCAACAACUACCUCCUCUUCAACCUCAUGCCAAAACUGCUCUAGGACUACAAACGUUAUCAAUUCCAGCAACACCUGCCAUCGUGGUGGUCUGAAGGCCAACAGCUGCCGCGUUCUGAGAACUGUCCAGGUCCUGGGUUGCCAGCCCACUCCUUGCUUUUGUCGCAGACCCAUCUACCUAGUAAAUAACUUCAGUGCCUGUCCUUCUCUGGAUGACUGGGGCUGCUGUGGCGAAGGCAUCAACAGCCAUGAGAAAGAGACCAUGCAAAUCCUGAACGACCGCCUUGCUAACUACCUGGAAAAGGUGCGAGUGCUGGAACAAGAGAAUGCCCAGCUGGAGGGUAAAAUCCAGGAAGAGUGCAGCAGAGAGCUCCCUGUCUUGUGUCCUGAUUACCUGUCCUACUACUCUACCAUUGAGGAGCUCCAGCAGAAGAUCUUGUGCACCAAGGCUGAGAAUUCCAGACUGGUCUCACAAAUUGACAACACCAAGCUGGCUGCAGAUGACUUGAGAGCCAAGUAUGAGGCUGAGGUGUCCCUGCGCCAGCCUGUGGAGGCCGAUGCCAACAGCCUACGACAGAUCCUGAAUGCACUGACCCUGGCCAAGGCUGACCUGGAGGCGCGAGUCCAGUCUCUGAAGGAGGAGCUCCUCUGCCUCAAAAGCAACCAUGAAGAGGAAGUUAAUUCCUUACAGAGCCAGCUUGGGGACAGACUCAACAUUGAAGUGACAGCUGCCCCUUCUGUUGACCUAAACCAGGUUCUACAAGAAAUGAGAUGUCAGUAUGAGUCCAUCAUGGAAACAAACCGUAAAGAUGUGGAACAAUGGUUCAAUGCGCAGAUGGAGGAGCUGAAUCAAGAAGUGGUGACCAGCUCUCAACAGCAGCAAUGCUGUCAGAAGGAGAUCAUAGAAUUGAGACGCACCAGGAAUGCUCUGGAAGUUGAACUGCAGGCCCAGCACCGAAUGCGAGAUUCCCAGGAAUGCAUGCUGACUGAGACGGAGGCCCGCUACGCAGCCCUGCUGGCCCAGAUUCAGAGUCUGAUUGACAACCUAGAGGUUCAGCUGGCAGAGAUCCGGAGUGCCCUGGAAGGACAGAACCAAGAAUACGAGAUUCUACUGGAUGUCAAGUCCCGGCUGGAGGGCGAGAUUGCCACAUACCGCAGCCUUCUGGAGAGCUCAGACUGCGAGCUUCCCUGGAACCCAUGUGCCACCGAAUGUGAAUCUCCCAUGCAUACUUCCUGUAAAGCCAGAGCCCCAGCCUACACCUCCUCAGUCCCCCAGGGGAUCCGGAAGGCCUACAGUGCCUGUGCACCCCUGUCCCGGAUCCUGGUUAAAAUAUGCACCAUCACACAGGAGAUCCAGGACGGGAAGAUCAUUUCCUCUCACGAGCACGUGCAGCCUUGCUACAUCACCAGACUGGCCAGAGUCUAACGUCCCAAGGUGAUAACAAUGGCUUGCUUUCCUGAGACAGAGGCCAAUGCAUGCUCCUGCCAGAAAGGUUUAAGAACUCCCCAGUCCCUGCAGUGAAUGGAGUUUGGUCUGACUGUUUGACAAGGGACCUGUAGCUGGGACUCUGAGGACAUAACCCCUGCCUGCAUCCUCCCCAUGAUGGCGACAAUGGAAAACAGCUUCAGUCCAUGCUUCAUUCUGUCCAUGAGACACACACAUACUCAGUAUCCAGAAGCUUUCCAGCAAAGCAAAAAGGAAUCAUUUCUGCUCACCAGUUCGAGGCAGUUCCAAAGUGAAAAGGCAUCAUUAUGUCCAACCAGCCAUAACUUCUUACAGGGCUGUCACAGAGUACGUCAUUCCCUGAAAAUUAUUAGACAUUUCUAGAAUCUUUAAUGAACAAUUCCAAAUCAACCCCAUAAUGCUGGGGGUCAGCACUGUGGCACGGUAGGUUAAGCCUCCACCUGCAUUGCCAGCAUCCCAUAAGGGUGUCCGUUCUAGUCCCAGCUGCUCCUCUUCCAGUCCAGCUCUCUGCUGUGGCCUGGGAAAGCAGUGGAAGAUGCCCCAUGUGUUUGGGCCCCUGCACCCAUAUGGGAGACCCAGAAGAGGAUCCUAGCUCCUAUCUCCAGAUUGGCCCAGUUCUGGCCAUUGCAGCCAUUUUGGGAAUGAACCAGCAGGUGGAAGAUCUUUCUCUCCAUCUGUCCCUCUCUCUCUCUGUAUGUAACUGUACCUCUCAAAUAAAUAAAAUCUUAAAAAAAAAAAAAACACCACAAUAUGGAAACGAAAGACCUCAGGUCCUAAACCUGCCACAUUCUCAUUGUGACCUGGGGCACAACCUUGAACCUUCAUUAAACUUCAUUUCUUUGUUUGUUCAA